CCUACGGGAGGCAGCAGUGAGGAAUAUUGGUCAAUGGGCGAGAGCCUGAACCAGCCAAGUCGCGUGACGGAUGACGGCCCUACGGGUUGUAAACUUCUGUUCUUAGUGAAGAAUAAUGACGGUAACUAAGGAGCAAGCCACGGCUAACUACGUGCCAGCAGCCGCGGUAAUACGUAGGUGGCAAGCGUUGUCCGGAAUUACUGGGUGUAAAGGGAGCGUAGGCGGGAAGCCAAGUCAGCUGUGAAAACUACGGGCGUAACCUGUAGAAUGCAUUUGAAAAUGGCGUUCUUGAGUGAAGUAGAGGUUGGCGGAAUUCCGAGUGAAGCGGGGAAAUGCGUAGAUAUUCGGAGGAACACCGGUGGCGAAGGCGGCCAACUGGGCUUUAACUGACGCUGAGGCUCGAAAGUGUGGGGAGCAAACAGGAUUAGAUACCCCGGUAGUC
rnacentral:rRNA from 1 species